rnacentral:rRNA from 1 species
UGCCAGCCGCCGCGGUAAUACGGAGGGGGCUAGCGUUGUUCGGAAUUACUGGGCGUAAAGCGCGCGUAGGCGGCUUUGUAAGUCGGAUGUGAAAGCCCUGGGCUCAACCUGGGAAUUGCACUCGAUACUGCAGAGCUAGAGUAUGGUAGAGGGAAGUGGAAUUUCCGGUGUAGCGGUGAAAUGCGUAGAUAUUAGGUGGAACACCAGAGGCGAAGGCGGCUAUCUGGGCCAUUUCUGACGCUAAGGCGCGAAAGCGUGGGGAGCAAACAGGAUUAGAUA